rnacentral:siRNA from 1 species
CGCUUACCCCUUAGCGAGGGUC